AUUUAAAUAGCUUAAUAAGAGAGCAUUAUAUUGAAGAUAUUAAGGUGAAUAAUUAAAAUCUUUGAAUA
rnacentral:tRNA from 1 species